GCCUGAUGAUGUGGACAUUUACAAAGUAGGUCUCUGAAACGCUCCCAGGUCUAAAAAAAAAAGUUCCCCAUCCGUUUGUAUGAAACUUGUGAUUGCACUUCGCAGUU